UACCAGCACCCCGAGUGGUCGGGACGAUUAUUGGGCCUAAAACAUCCGUAGCCGGUUCUACAAGUCUUCCGUUAAAUCCACCUGCUUAACAGAUGGGCUGCGGAGGAUACUAUGGAGCUAGGAGGCGGGAGAGGCAAGCGGUACUUAGUGGGUAGGGGUAAAAUCCGUUGAUCCAUUGAAGACCACCAGUGGCGAAGGCGGCUUGCCAGAACGCACUCGACGGUGAGGGAUGAAAGCUGGGGGAGCAAACCGG
rnacentral:rRNA from 1 species